UACGAAGGGGGCUAGCGUUGCUCGGAAUCACUGGGCGUAAAGCGCACGUAGGCGGCUUUUUAAGUCAGGGGUGAAAUCCUGGAGCUCAACUCCAGAACUGCCUUUGAUACUGGGAAGCUUGAGUCCGGAAGAGGUGAGUGGAACUGCGAGUGUAGAGGUGAAAUUCGUAGAUAUUCGCAAGAACACCAGUGGCGAAGGCGGCUCACUGGUCCGGUACUGACGCUGAGGUGCGAAAGCGUGGGGAGCAAACAGGG
rnacentral:rRNA from 1 species